GCCAAUAGGAGCUCGGCGGCGUCGGGGUCAAAGGACAGGCGAAGUACAAAGAUGGCAGCGCAAGCGGUGGCGGCUGAGCAGAUGAAGCGGUGUCAGUGAGGAGCAGGACAGUGGCCGGGCUAGGCAAGGCGUGGGUGGGGAUGAUGGUGCGUGGCGCGCGCUGUGGCUGAGGAUCCCUCGCGCCCUCUAGCCGUCCCGCGCACCCGCCCCUCUCAGCUGGUGCCCCGGCCUCGCGCUCCCUCCUCUCCAUGAGCGGCGCGUGCGAGCUGGUGUGGCGCCUGCUGCACGCCCUGCUCUGCCUGCUGCGCGCGCUGCUCUCGUGGCUCCGCGGGCGGCUGCGGGGAGGCCCCCGCUCGUGGCUCUGGCGCUGGUGGCGCCGCGCGGCCUCUGCCGCCGCCUCCUGCGCGCUCCUGGCGCCCGCCGCCGGGGCCUUCGCCUUCCACAAGCCCGGCGCGGCGCGGCGAGUGCCUGGCGGGCGCGGGCGGGGGCGCUGGGACGGGCGGUCCCUGGAGAAGCUGCCGGUGCACAUGGGGCUGGUGGUGACCGAGGAGGAGCCGAGCUACGCGGACAUGGCCAGCCUGGUGGUGUGGUGCAUGGCGGUGGGCAUCUCCUACGUCAGUGUCUACGACCACCACGGAAUCUUCAAGAGGAAUAACGCAAGGCUGAUGGAUGAAAUUUUAAAACAGCAGCAGGAACUCCUGGGUCUAGAUUGCUCCAAAUAUACAGUGGAAUUUGCAAAUCAAGACAAAACAGACCAAGUUUUAAAUUGCCAAUCUACAUUGAAGGUGCUGUCCCCAGAAGAUGGAAAGGCAGACAUAGUGAGAGCAGCUCAGAACUUUUGCCAGUUGGUAGCACAACAGCAAAGAAAAUAUACAGACCUGGAUGUGAAUGUUUUAAACAACUUACUAAAUAGUAAUAAAGGUUUCCCUGACCCUGAUUUAAUUUUGAAAUUUGGUCCUGUGGACAGCACAUUAGGAUUCCUUCCCUGGCACAUCAGACUGACAGAAAUCAUUUCUUUGCCUUCACACCUGAAUAUCAGCUAUGAAGAUUUUUUUUCUGCCCUCCAUCACUAUGCAGCCUGUGAGCAGCGUUGGGGAAAAUGACUUCUUGCUGAGCACUCUGUCAGGCUUUCCAUGGAAAGGAUCCAGUAUCUCUGUUUACAAGCACCCUGUGAUCUGUACAAGUCUGGUUCAUAGUCCCCAAAAAACCUAUAAUAAUGUGAACUGCCUCAUUUCAAGUUUUGUGUGAGACAAAGGGACCUUGAUCAAGUUGCUCACUGCUUUGAGCUGAUUCUUUCAAGGACGUCAAGAUGAUAUUCCCUAUGGGUUGUAAUGCCAGUACAGUGUAUUUAAUCUCAUUCGUGGGGUUGGCUUUUGAUGUUCACCCUGUUUCUACUAUGAUAAAACAAGAUAGACAAUUUAACAUGCAAUGGCUUCUUGGGGUCCCUGUAAUUCCCCACUAAACAUACAUUUAGCUUUUGGGGAUGGGAUGAAUGACUUGCUCUUGAAGAGAGAGCUUGGGUAUUGUGAAUUUUUUUUCUCAAGGCAAAGACCACCUUCAUGUAAACAUAAAGGUUGUCAAGCAGUUCUGGUAUUGGCAGUAAACAGAAAUAAAACAGGAAAAUGAGACUUAAUUCUGUGUUUCUUUUGAUCUUUUCACCAAUCUGCAGACUGCCAAAAAAGUCUUGCAUUACCUGAACUGGUUUUUUGGCCCUUAGCAAAUUCCUGAAUAUCUUUACUAAAGCAAGUAUUUCCUGUUUCAGAGCCAGACCUUAAGAUUUAGUGAGUUGUGCCAAAUACACUCUGUAUAUCCACAACUUGAUCUUCGAAUGUGUCAUUGCAGUUAGCUCCCCCACCCCAGCUUGUCCUGUGUGAAGGUACAUUAUAUAGCUGUGACAUUGUGUGGCUGUAGUCUCUGGCUACAUGUAAAUAAUGUGUAAAGCAAGUUUUUUAUGAUUAAGGAAUCAAUUUAUUUAACUUUAUUAUUGAAAGUUAAAACCUGAAUCUGUAAAACAAGAAACCAAUAAAAGAAUAUAAUCUUUCUA